rnacentral:lncRNA from 1 species
CCACAAUUGCUUUGAUGCUUGUCUCUUUUUAAAAAGCACUUCAAGAGAUGCAACAGGAAAGUGCAGUGUGGGGAGCUCAGCAUGCGAUGAGGAUGGUUAUGAAAUGGUGCAAAUCUCGAUGCUGGCUCCGUUCUCUCCACCUGACAUGCCAAAAGCUACAUCUGACUCAGGAGCCCUCUUUAUGGUACAACCAGCGGACAAUGAGGUUUCUAUUCAAGGUCUGGAAUAUAUUCUUACAUAAUUGAUAGGCUCUGAGCUAAGCAAGAACUGACUAAAUGCUUUGGCACACGAGAGUGCCCUGGGGGUAGGUUGUCAUAUUUGUCUGAUAAUCCAUGCGCGCACGUAAUACCUCUCAAUGAAAUGCAAGAUCCUGAAUGCUAAGCCACAGGCCACAACACUGGCUGAAAACCCCUUGGGAUUAAGUGUCCGGCGUACAAAGAAUGGGCAAAGAAAGAAGUUUGUUAUAUAAGCCUUGUAAUUGGCAGCUUAUGGAGGGCCAUCAGCAACUGCCCCACUGCCCCUUGUCAAGCCACUCAUGGUGGCAAAUGGAGCCUGCCCCACAUCAGGUAUGCUCUGAGAAACCAUACAGGAAUCUACAGUGCUCUGCCCCACUGCAUGUUCAUCUCACAUCAUCUUUUCUCUCCAUCACUGUCGCUGCCUCUGCCAUAAGCAAAGGAAUCAAUGAUGGACUGGAGAUGGGUGGACUACAAUCAAAAUAGGCUGGGGUGGGGACAGGGGGCAGCAUAAGACAUUCUGGCGGUAGCGGCACCAGUGGGGCAGGCAGGGCGAUGCCUCUUGUGCUUCUGCUGCCUGAGACGGGUAGUUCCCUGUGCCUCAUCGGUGGGCUGGCUCUGUUGGUGAUUCACUAUGGAAUACCUCUAAUCACAAACAAGCCUUGCACUUCUGUUUCCAUUCUCUCUCCACCCCCCACCCCCCACCUUUUUUAUCUUUCUGGUGCCGCCACUGGGAGAAAUUCAUUAAACCACACUAUGUCUCAAGAAACUACGGGAUUGAUGUGGAUUGUGGCUAACCUUGUGAGUAUAUGGCUUCAGAAACCAGUGGUGUGAGCAUACGAGUUGUGUGUACACAGCCCUUUUCCCAGUUAGAUGAGAUGAAUUGAGGCAAAAAUCCAAGUUUGGGCAGCCACAGGGAAGAAACACUUUAGCCCUUUGCAGCUGAAACUCAUGAGCUCCUUCAACAAACAUUUGUCGAGCAUGAAGACAGGGAAAACACGCUGGGGUACAUUGCAGAAAGCAGGACUUGUUUUGAUGUUACGAUUCCUAUUAAAACUUGUAGGAAAAUGGCUGAAGAUAUUAAUAGAAUGAGGUUUGUGUCAUUAAUUGUAGCAUGUGCCCUUUCAGGCACACUGUUUGGCUCUUUUCCCUCUACAUUUUUCUAACACAGUAAAGGAAAUGUAUCAGUACCUUGCAGUCUUAACUUUUAGAGCAAGCAAACUUCAGGGAAGGGGCAUAGCUCAAUGGCAGAGUAUCUGCUUGGCAUGCAGAAACUUCCAGGUUCAAUUAUUGGCAUCUCCAGGUUAAGGCUAGGAGAGAUUUGUGUCUGAAAUCCUGAAAAGCCACUGCCAUUCCAUGCAGAUCAGCAGUGGGGGACCCCUAUUCCACAGCUCAAAUUAAGCCCAACAGGGAAUCCCAAUUGGGCCUGUAAGGCUGUUCUUUCCGAACCAUGUCCAUCUGCUCCACACGUGAUGUUCACAUGUGAUAUCAGGUGUGGAGCAGGUAAAGAUGCAGCUGCAAAGAAACAGUGGGGAGCCUUAAAGUGUGCUCCCAAUUGCUCCUUGGCAAAGCGAGGCUUGCUGUUAAGCACUGAUCAUCUGGUUGGCACCCCAAGCAAGUCAUGCAGGGAUCAGCUGCACUACAGAUUUCCCUAUCGGCAGCAGAGCAUCUGCUUUGCAUGCAGAAUGUUCCCAACUGGGAGCUCCUUAGUGCAGCUAAUCCCUUCUGAAAGUGGGAUUUGCUGUAAGCACUGAUUAGCUGACGGUCGCUUACAGUUCGCUCCGCAGGGAAAGACUUUCUUCGUCUGCAUAGAUUGAAAUCAAACUGUGUGGGCAAAGCAAAACAUUUAAUUUGACAUAGUCCUGCCCACCUGCCAAAGUGACUCUCCCACUUGUCAUCCCAUCCACCUGUCAAAGUGGCCCCUGGUAGUUGGGGACGUCAGAAUCUGGCUCCGCACAAAUCCAGUUCUCCACUGCUAGUGCGGACAACACCCAAGCUAAAUGGACCAGUGGUAUAAGACAGCAUCUUGUGUCCUGUCCCCCCCGGAAAAUCCCAACAAAUGUUCUAAAAAUUAAGAUGGAUUGCAAUUAUUAUUAUUUUUUUAAAAAGAAAAAACUAUAUUAUAGCCGGAUUCAUUUGCAAAUAAUUCUGCUUGUGAUGUGGGCUACAUUUGCUCCUUGCUGCUAUCUUCUGAAGCAAUUCAUGACCUCAUUUUGAUAGACCCUAUUGUGUGACUUGGAUGUUCUCCAGAUGGAGGGAAUCCUCAUGAGGUUUGCAGGUCAUAGGCAGAUGUUUGUGAUUCUUCACCAGUCUCAGGGCUGCCUAUUCUCUGAUAAGCAGAUGAUCACUCAAAAGGCUAUGAUCCCUGAUGUGGACAGAGGGUGCUGCGUUUUCAGCCCGACAAGCAAUGUCAAACUAAGGCCAGCAGUGUAGGCAUGUGUUGCAUCAUGUAUCUAAGUGUGCCAUAUUCAUUUCUUGACAAGGCUUAUUUUGAAUGAACUCUGCCAGAACUCAACCCUGGAACAUGUGAAUGAAUUAACAGAAGAUGUGCUGAAUUCCUUUACAUUACUAGUUUCUCAUGGACUGGCUGGAUGCAGAGGAGUGGUGGGAGGUACCAGCUGGGGCACCCUCAAGGGAAGAAGACUCGGAGCCAGGGGAUUGGUGGUGGGACAUGGUCAGAGGGAGAAGAAGGAACAAACUGGGAGGAGGAUGUGUCAGAAGCUGAAGAGGUAACAGGGUUUAGUGAGUGGGGAGAUGCUGGGGCAGAGAGCAGUUCAGACUCAGAGGCAGAAGCAGAGGAUAGAGAGGAGGGGAGCCAAGAGGCAGCAAUGAGUCAGGUUGGUGAGGAAGUCAGGCUGUCUCCCCCUCCUGUGGUGACCAGCUCCCCUCUCUCCUGGCCUCCCAGAACCCAGAGAAGUAGGAAGAGGGUGGAGCAAAGACAGACAAGAUGAAGGAGCCUCAGAUUACUUGGGAAGGAACCAGGGGAGGAGGAGACUUAGGGAGCUGUGGGAAGGCAGGGUACUUUAGUCCUUGCAACUGCCUCAUUGGGCAAGACCUACUAGAAAGAGUUAAACAAUACAGGCUAGAAUUGAUUACCUGUGCCUAUGUAUGUGAAAAGACUUCAAUCUCUUUCGGAGGAGAGAUUCCCCGCUAUGUCUUACACAGAAUGGGAACAGACCAAAUGCUGGAAGGCUGGCAUCCAACGCCUCUUGUCCCCAUAUCAAUUACAAGAUCUUCAGGUGACCAUGAAGAUGGAGAAGAGGCACUUGAGAGACUAUCUCUUUAGGUCCGAUGCAGAAAGGGAUUUAACCAUGAUUGCUUCUACCAAGAGCUCACCAUGGUUCCCACAUAUCAAAACGGAGCAUGCCCGUGCCAGAUACCUGACAAAGCUCCCACUUGCCAUACUGAGAAUCGCUUUUACAGAACUACGAUUCCAAUCGAUGCCCUUGGCACUGUUGGAUAGACAGUACGGCAAAGUACAUUACAAAGAGAGAUUCUGUCUAUGUGGACACCCCUGUGUCGAGGACAUGUGCCAUUAUUUAUUGCAGUGCCCGUUAUAUAUAGACCCAAGAGACCGAUUUAUAAAAGCCCCUGUUUACGAAUGGAACACAUCUGAUGAGCGACACCGAUGACUUUAUUACUUAUAAAGUAGCACUCUAUGCACUGUGUAGAGCUGCAUGCUUGCUAGAUCAGGAGGCACCUACUUCUCUUAAAGAUAUAUUUACUGAGUUGCUUGAGAAAAAUGAAGAUGGCCUGUCUAGUCAUCAUAUUGCAUGAUGUAACUGCAUGUGAUCUCGCAACUGGCCUUCAUUUUAUUUUAUACCUUGGGCUAGGCCUGUACAUUGCUUAUGUGUGGAAGCUCCUAGUUAUAGAGCGAAGAUAUCAUCAGGACAUUUCCCAACAAUGAAGUGUUCAAAGAGUAAAUACAACAAUGGUGAGAAGUGCUUGAAUAGGUGGGGGGAAAGAUUCCAGAGGUAUGGUUAAAUAUUUGUUUUAAAGAUUAUUAAAACUGUAGUCUACAAACUCAUUUUUGGAUUGAGCCCACUUUCAUCCUCUUGACUUGAGCUGCAACCGAGGCACCUCAAAUCCAAGUAUUUUGGUUUUACAUGUCAGGUUUCCUAUCAAAGGCCUUGUAAAUUUAUCUUUGGGGUGUGCUGGGAUGGCUCUUAAGCAGAGUGAAGCAACUGCUUUGGGCAGCAGAUGGCAGGGCUCAAAAUGGAAUUAAGGCAAAAGGCUGUAUUACAUAUGUACUGCAAAAAUAAAAAUAUUCAAGCCAUUAAAUGUAAAACUGCACUCUUGUAACCAUGUGACAGCCAAGGGUGUUAUUCAACAUAGCACUAAGUUGGAUGUGUGUGUGAAUGGAAUGAAAUACCGUACUGGGAAUUGUAGUUCUAUGAAGGGCAAACUACAGUAUCCAGGAUUCUUUGGAAAGGGGAGAUCGGUGCUUUAAAUGUAUGGUGUGUACACAGCCUUGGUUUGACUCUAUUAAUGCAAGCGUUUUAGUCAUUUCCCCUUGGUAUUAUUUGUCUUUUGUGUAGGGACUGCAAGGCUUGUCUGUGAUAAGAGGUGAUCUGUAGUGGAUCCUCCAUAAGCUCCAUAAUGAACUGCUUUACACCAAGUCGGCCCCAUGGCCCAUCUCACCCAGUACAGUCAUACCUUAGAUCUCAAACGCCUUGGCUCCCAAACAAAUCGGCUCCCGAACGAUUGAAACCCGGAAGUGAGUGUUCUGGUUUUUGAACAUUCUUUUGGAAGCCGAAGGUCUGACGGGGCUUCUGUGGCUUCCAAUUGGCUGCAGGAGCUUCCUGCAGCCAAUCAGAAGACACGCUUUGGUUUCCGAAUGUUUUGGAAGUCGAACGGACUUCCGGAACAGAUUCCGGACUUUAUUGACUACCCUGAGUAGCAGCAGUACUCCAGGAUUGCAGAGAGGUCAGUUACAUCACCUGCUACUUCAUCUUUAAAAUUGAGAGGCUAGGAGGUUGAAUUAGGACCUUCUUCACGCAAAAUAUGUCUUGCUCUACUACCAAGCUAUGGUCUUUUUCUAAAUAAUAAUUUUGGGGGUUUGGGGUGGGUGCUGAGUGCUGAACUAACACUCUUGCCAAGCAGCCUCCCCUUGUUUAUUCAUUGGAGAGGUAUGUUGAUAGUUGGCCAACAGAAGUGCUGCUUCUGAAAGGGGGAAAGAGUCUGUAGUCUCUUCUGUACUCUUAAAAGGUCUCAGGAAUACUUUGACAUUGACCUCUCGUUGUCCAAGGAUUUUGUGUGCUGGUUUGAGUCAACAUGUUGAUAAUGAUCAUAGCUGGGCUGCUUUCUCUUCUGCAGUCACUUCCUGCUCAUGCGGUGUAGGUCUUUCUGAAUAAACACACGGGGGAAUAUUUGCUCUGCAUCCAAUAAACAGGCCCAUGAUGUUUACCUGAAGUAAACAUUGUAUCUCGGCCUGUGAGCCAUCUGUACAAGAAUCUAGAUGAUGGAACAGAUGGAUCAGAAUUAGAAAUAUGGAUCCAGUCUGCCUUGUUUGACCAUUAAAAUGUUUGCUCCUUCAAAAAGAGGGGAGUGAGUAGCUUCAGCAAAACAUUCCUUGUUUGUUACCUCUCCCUGGUUUUUGAAUGAGAUAGCUACGUGACUCUACGGACAACUAGCAGGCUCUGAUUUCUAAACAGGAGGUGGUCCAGGGCACCAUUUCAGAGAUUCCUUUCUCAGCCAGUGAACUAAUGCUUGGAUUCUGGAAGGCUGCAACAGAUCUUUUGGAAACAAAUCUUAUGCAUGCCCAGUUAGUGGACAGAUAGCUUCCCUAUCAGUCCUAAACAAAGUUGACAUCUUCCAGUGUUUUGACUCUCUUUGAAUAUGUGCUCUUGAAGUAAAAUCUUGAAGUAAAAGUCUUCUCAUAGAUGAAGCCUUACUGAUACCAUUCUAUAAAUCUGUCAUGUGCCUGCAUUUGGAAUACAGUGGUACCUCAGGUUACAUAUGCUUCAGGUUACAGACUCCGCUAACCCAGAAAUAUUACCUUGGGUUAAGAACUUUGCUUCAGGAUGAGAACAGAAAUCGUGCUCCGGCGGCGAGGCGGCAGCGGGAGGCCCCAUUAGCUAAAGCGGUGCUUCAGGUUAAGAACAGUUUCAGGUUAAGAAUGGACCUCCGGAACGAAUUAAGUACUUAACCCGAGGUACCACUGUACUGUGUACAGUUCUGGUUACCUCAAAAAUAAUACUGUAGAACUGGAAAUUAUCUAGGGGGUGGAGCAAUUCCCCUUGAGGAAAGGUUGCAGAGUUUGAGACUUCAGUUUAGGAAAAAAGGCAAGUAAGAUGAUGUAUAAAAGUAUUUAAAAUUAUGUAUGGCAGGGAGAAAGUGGAGAGAAUAAAGUUUUUUGCCCCACCCCACUGCUCAUAACACUAGAACUGAAUGUUGGAAAAUUUAGGACAGAUAACAGAAAAAAAACAUUCUUCACACAGAACAUAGUUAAAAUACAGAACUCUCUCUCCCACAGGAGGCAACAAUGGAGACCAAUCUAGAUGACUUUAAAAGAGGAUUAGACAAAUUUACGGAGAAGAGGGCUACUGAAGGCUACUAGCCAUAGUUGGAGGCAGCAAUGCUUUUGAAUACCAGUUGCUGGAAACCACAGAAGGAAAGAGGGCUCUUGUGCUUGGGUCUUGCUUGUGGGAUGGCCACUGUGAGAACAGGAUGCUGGAGCAGAUGGGCCAUUGGCCUGAUUCAGCAGGCUCUUCUUCUACCUUUGCAAUCUCCAGCAACAUCUGGAGAGCACAGGUUGCCCACCCGAGUGUGAGCCGUAACCUGCUCCUCCCACUCCUGCCUGGACAUGUCACAUAGCUUGCCAUCUGUGGCAUGGAUGCUGCAGUUGGCCACCCGUGUGUCAGCAUGUUAGACUGUCAGUCAAGUUUCUUUUGAGUGCAGGAACAGCUGGCAGAGCUGACUGGGUGGGUGGGUCUCUCCAUUUAUCAAUGUCACCCUCUGGGGUGGUCCUCUGCGUCGCUGCUCUUCCUGCUGCACUCAGACUCUCUUUCAGAUGUUCACUUCAAAGGGGUCCCAAUGAGAUGCAUGGUACCGAAUAAACCACAGGCUCUGC